rnacentral:lncRNA from 1 species
GCAAAAUGUAGGCUUUCAGAAUGAGAGCUAUAAAGGAAGGUUGGCAGAGAAAAAAAUGACUAAAAAGAAAUUGUCUUAUAAACACAAUAUGAGGAAGAGUAAAAUGUUAUAUGAAAAUCAUGGGUCCAUGGGGUGCCUGGGUGGCUCAGUUGGUUGAGCAUUCAACUCUUGGCUCAGCUUGGGUCAUGAUCUCAUGGGUUGUGGGGUGAAGCCCCUCAGGGAGGUCUGUGCUCAGCACAGAGUCUACUUGAAGAUCCUCUCCCUCAGCUCCUCCCCCCACUCACAUGCACACACACUUGUGCUCUCCUUUUAAAAUAAAUAAAAUAUUUUAAAAAAUCAUGGGUUCAAUAUGCAUUUUAGUCAAUACAUAUUAUUUGCUCCUACUAUGUGUCAGGCUCUGCUAGGCACUAGGGGCUUAAAACUAGUUAAACAGGAACAGAGCCUUUAAAAUGUUUGUUGUAUGGAGGGAGCGCUUAGAGGAGGGGAACUUCACAGUCUAGGUAUCAGGAUGGCUUUCUGGAGGUAGAAGAAUGAAAAGUAAAGAAAUUCUUAUCAGAAAAUAAAGCGCACUAGAAGUAUUUGAGGGGGAAAAACCCAUGCUGGGAGGUUUGGGAAAUAUCCUCUGGAUGGCCUUCUUUUUUUUGUUUUGUUUUGUUUUUGGCCUUGAGGCUACAAUCUUGAUUAGAGUCUGAUUUCUUUCAUUUCCCAAUCUGCAAUGGGUGGGUAUAAUUCUUGAGGAAAAUAAAUCAUAACUAAGACUUUUGUAAAUAUUGCUAGCUUUUGAUUAUUUGCACUAAUUAAAGGGGAACAUAUAAUUCAGGAUGGCAACAAUGUAAACAGGGCUUAUAUUGACUUUGGAAUAUGUUUUUUCGUUGAUUCCCAGAUGUUGCUGUGUCAGAUGUUCUCAGAACACACAUGACGCCCUAGGAAAUGGAGUCUGAGGUCCUUUAGGAUGAUGCAUUGGACUAAGCAGAAAAAUUUUCUCUUGACAAUGCUUGUGGUUCACACCUUUCCUGUGGGUGGAUUAAAAACAGAGCUCCUUCACGGGAAGGCGAUGGUUUCCAUCCGGAACCCUGUCCUGGCUUGCCUUGUCUUUUCUCUGUCGUCCUGAAGGGAGAAACAUCUUGCAUAGCCUCAAGGUCAGUGGUGAGCGCCUUGGGUUUGGCAACGAAACGAGACCCUUGGAAAGCUUGUGUCCUCACGCAUACUUUGCUGAUAUUAAUAAGGC